AGCAGCGUCGGUAUUCAGCUCAUAGCGUAUAUUAAAGUUGUUGCAGGUUAAAAAGCUCGUAGUUGAAUUUCGGGACCAAUUUGUUGGUCGUGCCUCGGUACGUACUGGUAUUAUUGGUUUCUCCCUUCUGAAGAACCUCGAUGUCAUUAAUUUGGUGUCGUGGGGAAUCAGGACUGUUACUUUGAAAAAAUUAGAGUGUUUAAAAGCAGGCAUACGCUUGAAUACAUUAGCAUGGAAUAAUGAAAUAGGACGUUUGAUUCUAUUUUGUUGGUUUCUAGGAUCGACGUAAUGAUUAAUAGGGAUAGUUGGGGGCAUUAGUAUUCAAUUGUCAGAGGUGAAAUUCUUGGAUUUAUUGAAGACUAACUACUGCGAAAAGCAAUUUGCCAAGGAUGUUUUCAUUAAUCAAGAACGAAAGUUAGGGGAUCGAAGACGAAUCAGAUACCGUCGUAGUCUUAACCAUAAACUAUGCCGACUAGGGAUCGGAUGAUGUUAAUUUUUU
rnacentral:rRNA from 1 species